AAUGUUUUUUUUCCUUGGGAGCUAAACAUGGCCUUAGAUUUGAAAGUUUCUUUUCUUAAAAGAAAAAAGCCUCUUGGCCUCUUGGGCGACAGUGGAGGAGGCGAAGCUCCGGCGGCCGAGGUGCUCCGGCGACGGCGAGUUCCAGUUCCAGGGUUUCGUAGCAAGCAAAAUCAGGAGGGCCAUGUCGUCGUCGUCUCUGCUGCGCUCGUCGGGCGCCGUCGUCCGUCGCGCUCUCUCCGCUGCCUCCUCCUCCUCGGGACAUCAACACGGGCGCCCUUCCUUCCGCCGUGCCAUCUCAGCGGCAGCCACCGCGUCCGCCCGCCGCGGCCUUGCGCCGCCCCCAACCCUGCCGUGCCGCAACCUCACAGCGUAUUCUUCCUGUGCGACACAUAGCAGUAAUAAAAAGGUGGGGGCAGGUAUUGUGGUGGGGUCAGUGACAUCACCGUGCGCGCGGGGGCGGGGGGAGCGACCGAUUUUUCCUCUCCCAGCCCGGUCACCCGACGGCCAUCAUUUCCCAAUUUUACCUUUUGUCUUCUAGGUUUUGAAGUUUUAAAAUAAAAUUUUAAUGAAUAUUUAGGAGCAGGAGUAGCUGCAGCCCUAGCUGCCCUACUCCCGUCUGCCAACCAUCCAAGUCAAAUGGGGCUUUGCUCGUCCUCAUGUUAUGGGAUAAGAUGACAAUUUCAGUAGUUGCUACUUGCUCAUGUCUAGAUACAGGACAUUUGGUUAAUUGGUUACCUUGCUAGUCCUUUUUCUUUUGUUUGCUUUAAGGGAUAUAUAGUUUGCAUCUAGGACUAGUCGUUCAUAAACAUUGUCAGCAGAGAGAUAUUUCUCACAGUAACAGGAGGUCAGGUCGUGGAGAAGUUACAAUAGAGAUGAUGUGUUCCAAGUUGUGAACCUUGCCAUUCUGGCAUGACGUCACAACAGAGAUCAUGUGCCCAUUUUAUUUCAGAAACAUGUUUACUUCUUCUAUUUAACAUGCAGGGUAUGCCUAAUUGUCUAGUUUGAUAGUAAUGCUGUUGCUUUCAUGAAUCCUCCACCAGAGUAUAACGGUUCAAUUCCCAGAGCCAUAUUUAUAAAUAAUUAAAUUUCGUUUAUAGAAGGCAGAUUGCAGUUGAUGACUGUGAAUUCUCAACCAUUGUUGUUUGUUGUGAAGGACGACAAGACUGAUCUGAAGCUAAAAAAACACCUUCAAGAACUGGAGCAAAUGCUUGACCAAAUUGUCAGUGAACAUGUGAAGCUGCACAGAUUAGUGCACAGCUCUGACCGUGGCUAUUUUGAGAGGCUUUUGAGCGAACAUGGGUGGCCCAAAUGCAAACCUCGUGAUGUUUUUGUUUGGAGAUGUAGGCUUACAACUAUUUUUGUUGCAUCUGUCAUGAUCGGUUACAUGUUGCCUGAAAUAGGAUAUCCGUCGUAAAAUGCUGUGAAGGAACACCCUACAUAGUUGUUUGCAGUCGUGCAGAUGUACAGGCGAUGGACACUUCUCGCUAUCUACAGUAGUACCUAAGACAUGUAAAUGUGAUGCACUUUUCAAAUCUUUCUACUCCCUCCGUCUUAUUUUAAAUGCAACAAUAAGUUUCUACAUUUAACUUUGAUCGUUCGUCUUAUUUGAAUUUA